ACUAGCCCACGCACGCACUGAAUAUCCCCCCAUCGGCCAUCGUCUCCUCGUCUCGCGCACGCUGCACGCACAGGCACACUCACGCCUUCCCCAAUUCCCCAUCCUCUCAGUCCCAGACUCAUGUAGGUUGUAGCCACGCCGCCGACGACUACCGACGUGGACAGGGAACACGUCCACACGGUCCACCGGAGCGCGCCGCCCGCCAUCUCUCGGAGCAACCGCCAUGGCAACGCCCGCCGGGAUCUCGCCUCGCCCCUGCCCUGCUCCCUCCUGCCGCCCAUCAUCCGCACACUUACACAGGUAGUCGGGAAAGGAAAAUAAGACUCAGAGAAGAAGAAGAUCACUGCACAAUAAGAUGGAAGAUGAGAAUCUGGCUAAUAACUUGUUAGUUCACAUAGAUGGUGGAAUUCUAGAAAACUACAGCCACGAAGAUGUCAUUGCAGAUUUUAUAAACAAGAAGAUCGGAGAGUUGAUUGUAUGUGAGUAGGUCCAUGUCUAAUGUCUCUGACACUUUUGUAUUAUCUAACUCAAUAGUGAAACAUGGUUGAACUGUACUUUGGUACAUAUAUAUAUUAUAUAUAUACAUAUCUGCUAGCUCAA